rnacentral:lncRNA from 1 species
CAACCAUCUAGCGAUGAUGACCUGACGACCGGAUGGGUCGAAGUGUUGCAAAGUAACCUUUCUAGAACCUACUGGCAUAUGGUUAUCGUAUAAUUCAUCCCUUUGAUCUAAAUACUCAAGGUGACUUGGGGUUUAACUGUCAAUCUUAAUUAAGUCAACCACAUUAUAUUUCAACCUUUCAAAUCUAUCUCAUGGAUUAUCCUGGCCA